GACGAACGCUGGCGGCGUGCCUAAUACAUGCAAGUCGAGCGAAUGGAUUAAGAGCUUGCUCUUAUGAAGUUAGCGGCGGACGGGUGAGUAACACGUGGGUAACCUGCCCAUAAGACUGGGAUAACUCCGGGAAACCGGGGCUAAUACCGGAUAACAUUUUGAACCGCAUGGUUCGAAAUUGAAAGGCGGCUUCGGCUGUCACUUAUGGAUGGACCCGCGUGGCAUUCGCUAGUUGGGGAGGUAACGGCUCACCAAGGCAACGAUGCGUAGCCGACCUGAGAGGGUGAUCGGCCACACUGGGACUGAGACACGGCCCAGACUCCUACGGGAGGCAGCAGUAGGGAAUCUUCCGCAAUGGACGAAAGUCUGACGGAGCAACGCCGCGUGAGUGAUGAAGGCUUUCGGGUCGUAAAACUCUGUUGUUAGGGAAGAACAAGUGCUAGUUGAAUAAGCUGGCACCUUGACGGUACCUAACCAGAAAGCCACGGCUAACUACGUGCCAGCCGCCGCGGUAA
rnacentral:rRNA from 1 species